AUUGAACGCUGGCGGCAUGCUUUACACAUGCAAGUCGAACGGUAACAGGCCGCAAGGUGCUGACGAGUGGCGAACGGGUGAGUAAUACAUCGGAACGUGCCCAGUAGUGGGGGAUAGCCCGGCGAAAGCCGGAUUAAUACCGCAUACGACCUACGGGUGAAAGCGGGGGAUCGCAAGACCUCGCGCUAUCGGAGCGGCCG
rnacentral:rRNA from 1 species